UAGAGUUUGAUCCUGGCUCAGAUUGAACGCUGGCGGAAUGCUUUACACAUGCAAGUCGAACGAUGAACCCUAGCUUGCUAGGGGGAUUAGUGGCGAACGGGUGAGUAAUAUAUCGGAACGUGCCUUGUAAUGGGGGAUAACUAGUCGAAAGAUUAGAUAAUACCGCAUACGCCCUGAGGGGGAAAGUAGGGGAUCUUCGGACCUUACGUUAUAAGAGCGGCCGAUAUCUGAUUAGCUAGUUGGUGGGGUAAUGGCCUACCAAGGCAUCGAUCAGUAGCUGGUCUGAGAGGACGACCAGCCACACUGGAACUGAGACACGGUCCAGACUCCUACGGGAGGCAGCAGUGGGGAAUUUUGGACAAUGGGCGCAAGCCUGAUCCAGCCAUUCCGCGUGAGUGAAGAAGGCCUUCGGGUUGUAAAGCUCUUUCGCAAGGGAAGAAAACUUACAUUCUAAUAAAGUGUGAGGCUGACGGUACCUUGAUAAGAAGCACCGGCUAACUACGUGCCAGCAGCCGCGGUAAUACGUAGGGUGCGAGCGUUAAUCGGAAUUACUGGGCGUAAAGCGUGCGCAGGCGGUUUGGCAAGUCAGAUGUGAAAUCCCCGAGCUCAACUUGGGAACUGCGUUUGAAACUGCCAGACUAGAAUAUGUCAGAGGGGGGUAGAACUCCACGUGUAGCAGUGAAAUGCGUAGAGAUGUGGAGGAAUACCAAUGGCGAAGGCAGCCCCCUGGGAUAAUAUUGACGCUCAUGCACGAAAGCGUG
rnacentral:rRNA from 1 species